AUUGAACGCUGGCGGCAGGCCUAACACAUGCAAGUCGAGCGGAUGAAGGGAGCUUGCUCCUGGAUUCAGCGGCGGACGGGUGAGUAAUGCCUAGGAAUCUGCCUGGUAGUGGGGGAUAACGUCCGGAAACGGGCGCUAAUACCGCAUACGUCCUGAGGGAGAAAGUGGGGGAGCUUCGGACCUCACGCUAUCAGAUGAGCCUAGGUCGGAUUAGCUAGUUGGUGGGGUAAAGGCCUACCAAGGCGACGAUCCGUAACUGGUCUGAGAGGAUGAUCAGUCACACUGGAACUGAGACACGGUCCAGACUCCUACGGGAGGCAGCAGUGGGGAAUAUUGGACAAAGGGCGAAAGCCUGAUCCAGCCAUGCCGCGUGUGUGAAGAAGGUCUUCGGAUUGUAAAGCACUUUAAGUUGGGAGGAAGGGCAGUAAGUUAAUACCUUGCUGUUUUGACGUUACCAACAGAAUAAGCACCGGCUAACUUCGUG
rnacentral:rRNA from 1 species